GCACUCUGACCAGUCUGAAUAUAUAUCCUACCCCUUGACUAUAAUCAAUGUUAUUCCCUUCACCAAUCAGUAUUUUUAAGCAUGAUGCUGCAUGGAAACUUGAUUAAACAGUGUUCAGAUAGCUCAGAGCUCUGUGAAAUCACCAAAAUAUAAGACUGAAGUUAGAGGUCACAAUAUCUUUGUCUUUCCAGUAUGGUGUACAGGCUCUUUAUUCAAAGCUCUUAAAAGAUCUUCCAAAAGUUUACAAAGCAGCCCAAUCCAUGGAUCAAUCAGAAUUAAGAGGUAGGGUUCAAAUUUGCUACUGGCCUCCACAGAACUAUUCAAGUGCAAUGCAACCCAAGCUGAUUUUUUUUUGUUCUUGCCAUGUAGAAGUCUAAUAUAAAGUGUGAUUG